AUUGAACGCUGGCGGCAUGCCUUACACAUGCAAGUCGAACGGCAGCGGGGGAGAAGCUUGCUUUUCCUGCCGGCGAGUGGCGAACGGGUGAGUAAUACAUCGGAACGUGCCCUGUAGUGGGGGAUAACUAGUCGAAAGAUUAGCUAAUACCGCAUACGACCUGAGGGUGAAAGUGGGGGACCGCAAGGCCUCAUGCUAUAGGAGCGGCCGAUGUCUGAUUAGCUAGUUGGUGGGGUAAAGGCCUACCAAGGCGACGAUCAGUAGCUGGUCUGAAAGGACGAUCAGCCACACGGGGACUGAGACACGGCCCGAACUCCUGCGGGAGGCAGCAGUGGGGAAUUUUGGACAAUGGGCGAAAGCCUGCUCCAGCAAUGCCGCGGGUGUGAAGAAGGCCUUCGGGUUGUAAAGCACUUUUGUCCGGAAAGAAAUGGCUCUGGUUAAUACCUGGGGUCGAUGACGGUACCGGAAGAAUAAGGACCGGCUAACUACGUGCCAGCAGCCGCCGUAA
rnacentral:rRNA from 1 species